AGAAUGUAGUAUUUAGAAAGAAAGGAUAAGCAACCUCUUGGUCACUUUCGGAUUGAAUUUUCCAUUUCUGCCGGUGUUUCCUGUCCAAUCAACUCAUUAUGAUAUCGAAUUCACUGGGAUUGAGGAAGUGGCUGAUUGUGACCCUCUCUGAAAACGAGUUGGAAAUAUUUAGAUAGAUAUUCCUGAGCUGAAAGUCAUUGUGCAAGGUUACCUGACCUAGACAGUGGAAUGCUUUGAUGCAGUCUCCUAGAUGUACUUGUUGGUGAUCCGUGUGUGGUGUGGUUCCUGAAGGACUAUCUUUAAAAAAAGUGAUCUUACCAUCAGCACUGGGAUCAAGAUGGAUGCUACAACUCUGGAGAUAACUACCCUUGAGAGUACUGCAACUAUGGCACCAGAUGAAGGCUCUCUGUAUGCUACUAGGAGCCAAGCUGUAUUUGUCGCCUCUGUACUCAUCAUCAUCGGACUGCUUGGCCUACUUGGCAAUUUGAUGGUAUUCCUGGCAGUCUCUUUGUCCAGGAGUCUGCAGGACACAACCCACGUUUUUGUGGUGAGUCUGGCCAUCUCUGAUUUCAUCACAUCACUGGCCCUGCUGUUCGAGGGCAUCUCCGUGCUCUCAGAGACUGGAUGGCCAUUUGGCUCUGACCUGUGCAAGCUUUCCGGAGCUCUGCUGAUCUUGACUGUCCCGACCAGCAUCGUGACUUUAAAUGCAAUUGCGAUCAACCGUUACGUCCUCAUCACCAGGAGCAAGACGCUUUUCCUCAAGAUCUACACCCGCACUCAUGUUGCUGUAAUGGUGGCCAUAACAUGGAUUGUUCCAUUUCUUGUGAUAGUAGUACCACAGCUAAUUCCUGCAACCGGGGGUUUAGAGUAUGAUCCUAAAUCCAGAUUCUGUAGUUGGGACUUGGAGCAUAAUCUUUUGGAAGUGUUUCGAAUCAUACUCCUUGUAGGUUCCAUCUGCUGUUCGAUUCUGAUAAUCUUCUGCUAUAUGGCCAUCCUUCUCUUUGUCCGGAAACAGAUCAAGUCAACAAAGGACAGAUGGAGGACAUCUGAUGUUGAUACCAACAAGACAAAGACACCACCUAGUCGUCUGAGCAAGAAACAGAUUGAUAUCACCAUAAACCUGGCUAUCGUUGUAGUGGUCUUCUUCAUUUGCCUUCUGCCGUAUUCCAUCAAUCUUGCGUCGUAUGAAGACACACUUGUCACAACUCUCCUGUAUUUGCUUCUCACUCUCUCCACCUGUAUCAAUCCCGUGUUAUAUGCUGUAAAGCAUCCCACCUUCAAAGCAGUUUUCAAGUGCAUGGUUUCCUGCAGGUUCAAGGAUAUUCCUCACCCGUCAGCAUGGCUCAAGAAUGUCAUCAAGGCCCCCAGGCCUAAACCCUCUGAACCUACUGAUACACCAUCCACCGAUCUUUAACUGUGAUAUAUGUUUGCAAACAUCUCCAUUUCAGGACUGUUCCAAAUGAAUGGUUUCCUGAGGUUUUGCCGAUGUACACGUGCGUCACCCAUAUGCAUGCUGUCCAUGAGUCAAGUGUGGCUUCAUCUUGAAACUUGAUUGUCAAAUUGCUGCAAUGUCUCUGUAAAAAUCUUUUGAAAGAACAGUUAAUUUGCCCUUAUCAUGAAACAUUGACAUCGCAUAAUUACACUUGUCACUCCAAACCCAUGUUUGACAUAUUAGCCUUACUCAAAUGCAGUAGGCUUGGACUGAGAUCCGAAGAUUGCAUUGCAUUUAGAUGUAAAUUAAAAAAAAACCUAACGAAUCAGCCCACAUUACCUUUCUAAUAUUGAGAAUACAUGUAGUGUAAUGUGUUUUUACAUUAAAAUGAGACCAUUGAAUGUGUUUUUCAUUUCCUCAUGUUUUUUCAGUCCUAAUUAAGAACUGAGGAGGCGGUAAAUAAUCAUAGAUUAAUUAUACUCCUGCUAAGGCUUACAAAGAUUUCCAGAGUGAAAGGAUGAUACAUAUAUAUUUUUCAGAAACACUUGUAAUGUAAUUAACAUUUCAUUUCUGUGUGAUUUUGUUUUACUGCUAUCAUAUUUUCUAAAUAAACAAUUUAGGGGAAAAAUAAUAAUUAUUAAUCUGUUCAUAAUUUCUUUGAAUUCUGCUGUUUUAAUUCAGUAUUUUUAUGAUAGAAACUAUUCUAAAAGUUUCACUUGCUAUCACAGUCAUUCCAUAUCCUUAGAGUUCAUGUGGUAGAAAGUUAGGGAGAAUUAAAAAAAAAAGAGGUGCAUUUACUGAAAUGUUAGAGGAUGAGGUUGGGUCCGACUAAUCGACUCUAUUAGAGUUGAAGGUCAGAUUGCAUAUUAUUAUUGGGAAUGAGAGCAUUGUUUACAUUUCUCAAACUCAUUGUUCUCUAACCUACCACAAAAUAGAUGUGACAAAACUUCAACGUCUAUAAAGUUCUGCUGCUAGUCUUCUAACUUAGACUAAAAUAUAUGACUCCUUCUCGCCAAUCCUCCAGCCCUUAUAUUAUGUUAAAAAGAGAACCACCUUCAAAAUUCUUUUACUUGGACAUCAUUCAGUUUAUUCUCUCUCCCCCACAUAUCAGUGUAGCUCAUUCUCAAAAUAUUAACCUACAUGUAAUCUCCGUUCAUAAUCAAAUGUAUUUUUGCUCCAGAUACCCAGAAUAAAACACAGAUGGAAGAUCGUGCUUUCUCUGUUAUAGGACCAAAACUCUGGAAUCGACUGCCUAUCCAAUUACACUAAAUUUCAUCAACAGAAAUAUUCAAGUCCCAACUCAAAAUGUAUUUGUUCCUCUCCCAUUAGCAAUUUGAUGGCAUGAAAAGUGUGUUGUGUUCAGGAUAAUUCAAAUUUCUAUUCUUUUUGUAUUUCUAUUUUAUUUCAAGUAUUGUUCAUGUACAUUUUCUUGACGCGCCACAAGCACCGAAAGGUGGACAGAUGCGCAAUAUAAUUUAUUAUAAUUAUUAUCAUGAUUUAAGAAAUCACAUCUCAAGAUUUAUUAAUCUGAAUUGCAAACUUUUUAUAAUGUUCAAAUGUGGAGUCCACAGGUCAAAAGUCCAAAGACACUGAUCAUAUAUUCCAAUUGGUUUAAAAGAUAUCAGACCACAUUUAAUGCUGGUAUUUUUUUUAUGUGUAGGUAGAUGACAUAAAUAAGUAAACAUGUCAAGUUUGAAUUUGGAGUCUGCAGGUCAAAGGUCACAUUUUAUUAAAACUACAAAAUGAAUAAUUGUGUGAAGCGCAGGCACCUGUGUCUUUUAGACAUAUCAAAUUUCUAACUUUCGUAGAAGUGGAUAUUAACAAGUAGUGAAUAUUUUGUAUCAUACUAGUUGAAUUACUGGAUGUAGCUGGAAAUUAAAAGUUGUUUUUGUCAAUUUGCAAAGUACAUGUUGUAUGCAUUUAGAAGUCCAUGAGUUGAUUGUUAUGAUCUAUAUAGUAUUUUAGAUGUUUAUGUUUGUAGUAAAAUUAAUUUCAAUAGAGCAAUUCAAUAUUCUGAAACUGGAGUACGUAUCACAUGCAUGCAGCCUAAUCAAUGACGGACCAAGAGUAUAGCGUGUGUAAAUAUUAUUUGAAAAUUAUGCUUAUUUUCAUUUUGAGAUGUUCUAUUAAAUACAUUUACUAUACUAACACAGAA